GCAUACAAAACAGUUAAGCCUUGGUAGAAGGCUACUUUAAUAGAAAAUAUAGGUUUUUCUGAGAGAUUCAAACUUUUACAAACACUUACAAACAUUUACUUACAUUUUACAAACUUACACUUGAGACAUGUUCAAACGUUUUGAUAACAAACACCGACACUAAAAUACUUNGAUUUACUUACAUUUUACAAACUUACACUUGAGACAUGUUCAAACCUUUUUCGAUAACAAACACCGACACUAAAAUACUUAUGAACUCAACAGCUUAAUGCUGAUAAACUCUUUCAAAAUAACUUGUAUUCUCAG
rnacentral:lncRNA from 1 species